GAUGAACGCUAGCUACAGGCUUAACACAUGCAAGUCGAGGGGAAACGGCAUUGAGUGCUUGCACUCUUUGGACGUCGACCGGCGCACGGGUGAGUAACGCGUAUCCACCUUCCCAUUACUGUGGGAUAACCUGCCGAAAGGCAGACUAAUACCGCAUAGUCUUCGAUGACGGCAUCAGAUUUGAAGUAAAGAUUUAUCGGUAAUGGAUGGGGAUGCGUCUGAUUAGCUUGUUGGCGGGGUAACGGCCCACCAAGGCAACGAUCAGUAGGGGUUCUGAGAGGAAGGUCCCCCACAUUGGAACUGAGACACGGUCCAAACUCCUACGGGAGGCAGCAGUGAGGAAUAUUGGUCAAUGGACGGAAGUCUGAACCAGCCAAGUAGCGUGCAGGAUGACGGCCCUAUGGGUUGUAAACUGCUUUUGUAUGGGGAUAAAGUUAGGGACGUGUCCCUAUUUGCAGGUACCAUACGAAUAAGGACCGGCUAAUUCCGUGCCAGCAGCCGCGGUAAUACGGAAGGUCCAGGCGUUAUCCGGAUUUAUUGGGUUUAAAGGGAGCGUAGGCUGGAGAUUAAGUGUGUUGUGAAAUGUAGACGCUCAACGUCUGACUUGCAGCGCAUACUGGUUUCCUUGAGUACGCACAACGUUGGCGGAAUUCGUCGUGUAGCGGUGAAAUGCUUAGAUAUGACGAAGAACUCCGAUUGCGAAGGCAGCUGACGGGAGCGCAACUGACGCUUAAGCUCGAAGGUGCGGGUAUCAAACAGG
rnacentral:rRNA from 1 species